AGGGGCAUAGUGUCAAUGGUAGCACAUCGGUCUCCAAAACCGCUUGUCUGGGUUCGAAUCCUAGUACCCCUGCCA
rnacentral:tRNA from 4 species